UUUUUUAAGAAAAACAAUAAGCAUGCUGGAAAACGAAACGACAACGGCACGAUUAAAAAAAUCCCCAAUUCAUUUAACCCUAAUUUUUGAGAUGAAGAACACUACCUUAGCAAGGUAGAGGACUGAAGAUUACUAGUUCGCCAUUAGAGUCCUUGACAAGGUCUGAUAUGAUCUGUUGAUGAAGCUUCAGCGCUAUUGAAGAAGAAGAAUGGCGUAAAUUGGAGAUAACGAGUCUUGACAAACGAUAGAAAUCUUUCUACAGACCUCAAAAAAUUUUGGUUUAAUAACUCAAGUAUCAUAAGUCCCAUAGACUUUCAGCUUAGUGGUUUCUGAGAUUCAGGCUCGGGUUUGUGAGAUUUUGAGUGUCGGACAGAUUGGUGAAGAAAGAGACGAGUCAGAAACACGGGAUAGAUUUACUGUGAAAGGAGCUGGUAACAUGACAAGAUAAAUGACACUUUACGUCCGGUUGAUGCUGGAGGGUAUUGGGCAGCUGAUGGAUCAUAUAAUGGUGGUGAAAUAAGAUGCUGCAGAGUUGAUUUUCAAACCCAAGUUUUAAGAUGCUCUUAUUAUGCUGAGCAAUUUACAAGGAUGUAUGCCCAUCAUAAGACAAUGGAUGAACUAGGCUAGACAAUAGAUGCACUCGGCUCUAUCUUAUUUUGUUGCUAACUUUGUUUCUUAUUUGAUUUUUCAUGUUAACU